rnacentral:rRNA from 1 species
AACGAACGCUGGCGGCAUGCCUAACACAUGCAAGUCGAACGAAGGCUUCGGCCUCAGUGGCGCACGGGUGAGUAACGCGUGGGAAACUGCCUAUUGGUGGGGAAUAACGACGGGAAACUGUCGCUAAUACCGCAUAAGCCCUUCGGGGGAAAGAUUUAUCGCCGAUAGAUGUGCCCGCGUCCGAUUAGCUAGUUGGAGAGGUAAUGGCUUACCAAGGCGACGAUCGGUAGCUGGUCUGAGAGGAUGAUCAGCCACACUGGGACUGAGACACGGCCCAGACUCAUACGAGAGGCAGCAGUGGGGAAUAUUGGACAAUGGGCGAAAGACUGAUCCAGCAAUGCCGCGGGAGUCAUGAAGGCCUUAGGAUUGUAAAGCUCUUUCGGGUGGGACGAUGAUGACGGUACCACCAGAAGAAGCCCCGGCUAACUUCGUGCCAGCCGCCGCAGUAA